rnacentral:rRNA from 1 species
CCUAGGGAUGCACCAGUGGGGAAUCUUAGACAAUGGGCGCAAGCCUGAUCUAGCCAUGCCGCGUGAGUGACGAAGGCCUUAGGGUCGUAAAGCUCUUUCGCUGGGGAAGAUAAUGACGGUACCCAGUAAAGAAACCCCGGCUAACUCCGUGCCAGCAGCGCGCGGUAAUACGGAGGGGGUUAGCGUUGUUCGGAAUUACUGGGCGUAAAGCGCGCGUAGGCGGAUCAGAAAGUUGGGGGUGAACUCCCGGGGCUCAACCCCGGAACUGCCUUCAAAACUCCUGGUCUUGAGUUCGAGAGAGGUGAGUGGAAUUCCGAGUGUAGAGGUGAAAUUCGUAGAUAUUCGGAGGAACACCAGUGGCGAAGGCGGCUCACUGGCUCGAUACUGACGCUGAGGUGCGAAAGCGUGGGGAGCAAACAGGAUUAGAUACCCGCGUAGUC